AUGGUGCUUGACCCGAACCAACCAACUGUGCUCCUCACAAGUGCUUCUGGAACGUCUGGACUGCACAUUGUGCUGGGGAAGUCAUUUGCAGGCGUUGGUUGUGGGCAAAAUGCAUUUCCGAGGAUGAAGCCUACAGGAACAUUAGCAGGAGUUGAAGCUGACCACAAAAACAAAUGUUUGGUGACACAAGCAAACAGAGCAGAGCUUUUGAGACCCGCUGGGAACGCCGACCUUCUGCAUGAGCACGCUUCUAGCCUGACUUCAGCCAUACUAGUAAUUCACGUUGUUCUACUGGAUGUCAUCCAGCGUUGGCAGAAAUUGAGGUUCUGUUUUUGUUCUCCAUUUCAACUGCUGAAAGAAUUGAGGUUUCUGAAAAUACCCACCCACUAACAAGGCAGGUGGAGUCUCUCCCGCAGUGCGCUCGCUGGGAAUGGGGGAUGACUCACUCGGAAGGGUAUCAAAAACUCCUGAUUCACUGCAAUUUCAGAGCGUUUUUCCUUUGGGUAAGGUUCGUUCUGGCUGGCUCUGGUGAGACUCAUCACAAGUGAAGACCUCUGUGAAACUCAGAAGCGAAGAGUUUGCGAUGAGAUGGGUGAGGAGGAUGAAAUGAGGGAAGAAUGGGGCGUAGUGAGGUGGUGGUGCGGGUCAGAGGAAAUGCUGAGCGUGCUCCUGGUGGGGCUGCCACAGGGAGAGCCAACUGGCAAGGGUGCAGCGAGUGGGAAGGACCUGGUCAGGACCCUGCUUUGCACAGAGUUGACCUUACCAGUGGAGUUGUUGUUAAAGCACACUGGAUUGGGGUGCCAGGAACAUCACUGCUCGCCGCCGGUGGUGCUGCUUGUUGUGGAUGGAUCCUGUCUGGUCACUUUUUAGAUGUGACCCAGACAACCUUACAGGAAAUCACGUAGGACUGAUAGCUGUGGAAGAAUUUGAAUUAAUUUGAAUUAAUUUUUUUUAUUCAGGUCAUCCCCUCAUUACGUACAGGAGCAUUUUCCUAUUGAAUCCUGCUGUAAAGUUGUGUUUUCACGAUUGUCCCACCAACUGAUUGUCCUGCUGCGUCAAGGAAGUUCUCUCAGAUUUAUAUUGCUCAUCACACAGACAUGCCAUUGUAUUUAGCAGCAAAUUUAUGAUUUGAUUAGACGUGUAAUUACAGAGGUUAUGAGCUUGUAGCACUGGGUGACUCGUACCUGUUUAACUACCUUGCCUAACACGGGUUAGGGCAUUGAAAUUGUUGACAUGACGUAUAUUAAAAUACCAGGUGUUGGGUUGCCCCUCCAGCACCGAGGUGCCAGCACAUAAUCAAAAAGAUGGAAAAUAUUUCUGUUCUUUAGUGCAUGUCUGGAUCUCAGCGAAGCUUUAACUGAUGAUAGUUAUGCAAUCGCGCCGGCAAUAGCAAUUAGAGAUUUACAAGUGCUUGUAAAUGCUGCUAUUUAUAGGCUGACUCUUUGUUUAACGAAACACUAACCUUUCUCUGCAACGGGAGAAAAUGUCAGGGCGGAGCAGUUCACCCUUGGGAUAGGAAUGGACUUCGAUUUCCCAAAGAACAGUACUUUGACCUCUGAUGAACUAAAAGCUUUAAUCACGUUUGCGCACGGGGAAUGGAGAUCUUGCAGUCCUUGGAAGCGUUUGCAUUAAAGAUGUAUGGGACUUUGCAGGUCAUAUCUGUCUGGUGAGAUGUGGAGCACUUAUUUUUAGAUUUCUACCAGUAAACUUUCAUUGCUGGCAGCAGAACGAGCUCCGUGUUCUCUUGAAGCUCUUGCCAUGCCUUGUAUUUCCUGACUGUGCUGCAGAAAGCCUUGUGCUCUUGGUGGGACACACGCACACGGUUAAGCCAAUCUUUUUUCAUACGUGCAUGAUAAGUGAUGGGAUUAAAUAAUUAGCAGGGCAGAUCCUAUCAGCGGCUCCGAGCAUUGCAGGAGGCAGAGAAGGAUGGCUGCUUAAGAAGGGUUGCUGUAGGCUUUGAUUCCAAUGCAUAGCCGGUGGGUGGAGGGAAGAAAAAGUAACUUUUCUAAGACUGAGGCACUUGGUUAAUGGGAAAACUUGUCACUGAAGCAAUGAAAUAAAUCCAGCACUGCUCUGUGUCUCUGCA
rnacentral:lncRNA from 1 species